CCUACGGGGUGCAGCAGUGGGAGAUAUUGCACAAUGGGGGGAACCCUGAUGCAGCGACGCCGCGUGGGUGAAGGAGCGUUUCGGCGCGUAAAGCCCUAUCUGCAGGGAAGAAGAAGGACGGUCCCUGACUAAGAAGCCCCGGCUUGCUACGUGCCAGCCGCCGCGGUAAUACGGUGGGGGCAAGCGUUAUCCGGAUUUACUGGGGGUAAAGGGGGCGCAGACGGCUGCGCAAGUUCGGAGUGAAAGCCCGGGGCCCAACCCCAGGACUGCUCUUGGAACUGUGAGGCUGGAGUGCAGGAGGGGGAGGCGGAAUUCCUGGUGUAGCGGUGAAAUGCGU
rnacentral:rRNA from 1 species